CCUACGGGUGGCAGCAGUGGGGAAUAUUGCACAAUGGGCGCAAGCCUGAUGCAGCCAUGCCGCGUGUGUGAAGAAGGCCUUCGGGUUGUAAAGCACUUUCAGCGGGGAGGAAGGCGGUGAGGUUAAUAACCUCAUCGAUUGACGUUACCCGCAGAAGAAGCACCGGCUAACUCCGUGCCAGCAGCUGCGGUAAUACGGAGGGUGCAAGCGUUAAUCGGAAUUACUGGGCGUAAAGCGCACGCAGGCGGUCUGUCAAGUCGGAUGUGAAAUCCCCGGGCUCAACCUGAGAACUGCAUUCGAAACUGGCAGGCUAGAGUCUUGUAGAGGGGGGUAGAAUUCCAGGUGUAGCGGUGAAAUGCGUAGAGAUCUGGAGGAAUACCGGUGGCGAAGGCGGCCCCCUGGACAAAGACUGACGCUCAGGUGCGAAAGCGUGGGGAGCAAACAGGAUUAGAUACCCUGGUAGUC
rnacentral:rRNA from 1 species